rnacentral:rRNA from 1 species
AUUGAAGCCUAGCGAUAUGUAAGUUAGUGGCGGACGGGUGAGUAACGCGUGGGUAACCUGCCUUGUACUGGGGGACAACAGUUGGAAACGACUGCUAAUACCGCAUAACAUAUAGAUGUCGCAUGGCAUUUAUAUCAAAGAUUUAUUGCUGAAAGAUGGCCUCGCGUCCAAUUAGCUAGUUGGUGAGGUAACGGCCCACCAAGGCGACGAUUGGUAGCCGGACUGAGAGGUUGAACGGCCACAUUGGGACUGAGACACGGCCCAGACUCC